CUCCUACGGGAGGCAGCAGUGGGGAAUAUUGGACAAUGGGGGGAACCCUGAUCCAGCGACGCCGCGCGAGUGAGGAAGUAUUUCGGUAUGUAAAGCUCUAUCAGCAGGGAAGAAAGAAAUGACGGUACCUGACUAAGAAGCCCCGGCUAACUACGUGCCAGCAGCCGCGGUAAUACGUAGGGGGCAAGCGGUAUCCGGAUUUACUGGGUGUAAAGGAGGCGCAGACGGCGAUGCAAGCCAGGAGUGAAAGACCGGG
rnacentral:rRNA from 1 species